rnacentral:rRNA from 1 species
ACGUAGGGUGCAAGCGUUGUCCGGAAUUAUUGGGCGUAAAGAGCUCGUAGGCGGCCUGUCGCGUCCACUGUGCAAUCCCGGGGCUCAACUCCGGAACCGCAGUGGAUACGGGCAGGCUAGAGGCAGGCAGGGGAGAGUGGAAUUCCCGGUGUAGCGGUGAAAUGCGCAGAUAUCGGGAGGAACACCAGUGGCGAAGGCGGCUCUCUGGGCCUGACCUGACGCUGAGGAGCGAAAGCGUGGGGAUCAAACAGGA